UAUAUAAAGUGCUUUAUUGCAGCAUCAGAAUAAAGAAUUCUUCUCUAUGAAAUUUUGUAGGAAUAAAAGGCAUUUUAUAUAUAUUACAUAUUAAAAAAAACCCGAAACAAAACCCAACAAAAUAAACUUAAGGAGUGGAAGCUUAGAGAUUUAUCACUUAAAUAGCAGUGGGCUGGACGGAAUCUUUGAUGGGAUAUAAAAAUAAAUGCUUGCUUAAUGUCUGCUUUUCUCAUGGUGGCACGCAAAGCCUCCUGGCGUAUAAGGUGCUUGUGUGAGGAACACCACUGCUUCUUGUUUCUUAUGCUCCAGCUCAUGCCUGUAUCCUCCAAACCUUAGAGGCAGCGAGGCAGAACAGCCACUCGGCUUUCAACCAGCUUUUUGGGGGGUUCAAUGCAAUAAUUUUUUCUACUUGCCCUUGGAUGGUAACUGCAUUUAUUAGAGAAAUUACAUUUUCUUUUUGGGGGGUUAGACCAGUUGACAUACCCAGUAUAAAGAGGAGGAGGGUGCAAAUCCUGGUUAACAGUCCUUACUAUAAGAGCAAUUCCUCAGAGAGCAGCCAGUCUAACAAACAAAUUGACUGAGCUAUUGAAAGCCUCCUUCAAAAAAGGCUGUCUGCAGAGGUCCUGCUUCCAUGUGUGGGUAUAAUACUGGACACUAGGCAAGUUCAACAGGAUGUUGUUUUAAAGUCUGUACACUGAUGGUAAAUAAGCUCCUCUGACAGUCUGCUGAUGCUAAUGAUGAUGUAUGAUAAGGGAGAAGAAAUAGGAAGAUGCUCUGCUGAAUGACAGAAGAUAACAAGCUCAUCCUUCCAUGGCCUUGGACACUCAAUUUGUCUGCUUCCCAUACAAAUGCCUCUAUGUCUGUUGCUGUGCCUCCCCACACAUUUGCCAGGCUCCCAGAAUCAAGCCAUCAGAUCACUGCCACCCUCUCUUGACCAUGUCUUUACCAGAAACUAGUGAGCAAAUGACCAUUUAGGCUAGGGAACAUGUAAUGGUCAUGAAAACUCACCAUGGUCUGGGUCACCAUUAUUUGGUUGUGCCUUCCUUCUCACCCUUUACAUAACACUGGUCAUCUCAGACUGCAUGACUAUUGGGAAAUGGAUGGUGUCUGCCUGUUUUGAUAACACCCAUUACUGGAGUCUGGGGAUAUGAGUGUGGAAU
rnacentral:lncRNA from 1 species